AGCGGCGGACGGGUGAGUAACGCGUGAGUAACCUGCCUCAUACAGGGGAAUAACAGUUAGAAAUGACUGCUAAUGCCGCAUAAGCGCACAGGGCCACAUGGCCUGGUGUGAAAAACUCCGGUGGUAUGAGAUGGACUCGCGUCUGAUUAGCUGGUUGGCAGGGUAACGGCCUACCAAGGCAACGAUCAGUAGCCGGUCUGAGAGGAUGAACGGCCACAUUGGAACUGAGACACGGUCCAAACUCCUACGGGAGGCAGCAGUGGGGAAUACUGCACAAUGGAGGAAACUCUGAUGCAGCGAUGCCGCGUGAGGGAAGAAGGUUUUAGGAUUGUAAACCUCUGUCUUCAGGGACGAAAAAGACGGUACCUGAGGAGGAAGCUCCGGCUAACUACGUGCCAGCAGCCGCGGUAAUACGUAGGGAGCGAGCGUUGUCCGGAAUUACUGGGUGUAAAGGGAGCGUAGGCGGGAUCGCAAGUCAGAUGUGAAAACUAUGGGCUUAACCCAUAAACUGCAUUUGAAACUGUGGUUCUUGAGUGAAGUAGAGGUAAGCGGAAUUCCUAGUGUAGUGGUGAAAUGCGUAGAUAUUAGGAGGAACAUCAGUGGCGAAGGCGGCUUACUGGGCUUUAACUGACGCUGAGGCUCGAAAGCGUGGGGAGCAAACAGGAUUAGAUACCCUGGUAGUCCACGCCGUAAACGAUGAUUACUAGGUGUGGGGGGACUGACCCCUUCCGUGCCGCAGCAAACGCAAUAAGUAAUCCACCUGGGGAGUACGACCGCAAGGUUGAAACUCAAAGGAAUUGACGGGGGCCCGCACAAGCAGUGGAGUAUGUGGAUUAAUUCGAAGCAACGCGAAGAACCUUACCAGGUCUUGACAUCGUAUGCAUAGCUCAGAGAUGAGUGAAAUCUCUUCGGAGACAUAUAGACAGGUGGUGCAUGGUUGUCGUCAGCUCGUGUCGUGAGAUGUUGGGUUAAGUCCCGCAACGAGCGCAACCCUUACUGUUAGUUGCUACGCAAGAGCACUCUAGCAGGACUGCCGUUGACAAAACGGAGGAAGGUGGGGAUGACGUCAAAUCAUCAUGCCCCUUAUGACCUGGGCCUCACACGUACUACAAUGGCUGUUAACAGAGGGAUGCAAAGCCGCGAGGUGGAGCGAACCCCUAAAAGCAGUCUUAGUUCGGAUUGUAGGCUGCAACCCGCCUACAUGAAGUCGGAAUUGCUAGUAAUCGCAGAUCAGCAUGCUGCGGUGAAUAAAUUCCCGGGCCUUGCACACACCGCCCGUCA
rnacentral:rRNA from 1 species